CCUACGGGGGGCAGCAGAGGGGAAUAUUGGACAAUGGGCGAAAGCCUGAUCCAGCCAUGCCGCGUGUGUGAAGAAGGCCUUCGGGUUGUAAAGCACUUUCAGUGGGGAAGAAAGCCUUGGGGCUAAUACCCUCGAGGAAGGACAUCACCCACAGAAGAAGCACCGGCUAACUCCGUGCCAGCAGCCGCGGUAAUACGGAGGGUGCGAGCGUUAAUCGGAAUUACUGGGCGUAAAGCGCGCGUAGGCGGUCUGAUAAGCCGGUUGUGAAAGCCCCGGGCUCAACCUGGGAACGGCAUCCGGAACUGUCAGGCUAGAGUGCAGGAGAGGAAGGUAGAAUUCCCGGUGUAGCGGUGAAAUGCGUAGAGAUCGGGAGGAAUACCAGUGGCGAAGGCGGCCUUCUGGACUGACACUGACGCUGAGGUGCGAAAGCGUGGGUAGCAAACAGGAUUAGAUACCCGGGUAGUC
rnacentral:rRNA from 1 species